rnacentral:lncRNA from 1 species
GGCUCCUCAAUAACUCUAAAGUUUUAUUGAUGUUCAAUAUUCACAUAUAAGUUAUUCAAAAGCACAGUGCUCUGUACAUUUGUUUUGACAAUUUGACAAUCUGUACAUUAGAUUUCAUUUCUCCCUUCAUUAUGACUAGGAUUUGCAUUAGGUUGGCAUGAGACUGCCCUCCUGUGGUCACAUGUGCAACCUUCAGCAUGCCCACCUUCCUGUAUUUUUCAGCAAACUGCUUGUCAAAAUGAAAGCAAGAUCAAAUCCAUCUAAAAUUAAACCAGUAUCACAAGCAUUGAAAUCAUCAAUUCAAAGAGCUAAACUGCCGGUACUUACAGCAAAUGAAUAUGUACAUAAAGUAUUUGACUCUGUAUUUAUUAUAUAAUUCUAUCCAGAGAAAGAGUUAGGAACACAACCCAGCUGUAUGAGCAGAUGUUCAGCCUGUUAACGUGAACAUCUUCUGUUUCCACCAGUCAGUCAGUCAAGUCCUGUAUGAACAGCUGCUCUCUGACUCCUUGCAGCUCUGCAGUGUAGCAUGCUACAGUAUCCUCAUCUUCAUCCUAACUCCUCUCACCUGGGAAUUCACAAAGAAAAUACUCGCAAAAUAUGAAAUAAAGCUGUGAAGAACGCAUAGGUGUAUUGUCCAUAAAGUGUGGUACUCUGAGUCUACAGCCUGCAUGCCUUACACCGGGAGAUAUCUUACAGCCAGGGGGUGGCUUUGUGUGUGUAAACAUGUAUUGUGCGGCUAUUAUCCCAUGUGUGACUCACAUCUUUGUAUUCUUUCUCAGUGAUGGUGCCAUUGAUUGUGCAGGCCUCUCUUCCCUCUGUAUAGAGGAGGAUCGAUGUGAAAGCACAUUGUCAAAGGGUUAAUUUCAAGGUAAGGACAUUCAGGCUUAAAAACAAAUCAGCAAAGCCGCAAAAAAAACAGUGAGAGAAACAAAUUGCCUUCUUUCACCUGUCCGGUGUGUGUGUCCCUUGGUCUGGGGGCUGGUUGGGUGUGGUCAGGAGGCGGGGGGUUGAGCCCUAGGCCAGGCUCACUGAGUCUUUGCCGGAUGAGUCGUAGUUCUUCAGUCCAGGGCGGCUGGCUGGGGUCUGAGUUAAAAGCUGAUGGGUCAGUGGUGGAGGAUGUACCAGGGUCUUCAGGUGAAGGGCAGAGGCCAGGGAUGGAGGUGGGUGGCACACCAAGCAGAUAGCCCAUGGCACUCACAAUGGCAUGGAUGAGCUCCGGACUGCUGGGGCCAGGUCUGGAGCGGGGGGACAGGGGAGGGGACACUGACUCCUGAGGGACCUUCUGUGUUGUAGGGGGGGAUCUGAUGUGCUGAGAGUCUGUCUUCUCUCCUGGUACUUUAGCUACAGUAUGGAGAGAACAGAAAGCAGAAAGAUAAGUAGCUAUUCAAAAUGAACACAUACACACUCACUUCUACCCAUGUCUCCACCCAUCACACACCAGAUUCUGUAGAAUGACUACUAUUACAUAGCAACAAAAGUAUACUCUUUCACAUACUGAAUCCAUAUUAACUUACAUUUAGUCUGAGCUGAGGGUGAGUGUGUGCCUUUGAUAUUUUUGGAGUAUGACUGCGGGCCAUUUCUCACAGGUGGAGGAUUCUGGCAGGGUGAGGGUACAUUUGGCCAACUCUUGUGAGAGGUAGAGGGUUUUUGAGUUGGGGCCCAUGGUAUUUUGACUUUAGUUCUAAAGUCCUCCUGUCCUGUAGUAGUCUUGUCUUUCUUUCUAAAGCAUUCUUUAGGAUGAUCCUCCCUGCUUGGCUGUGGAAUUGGGCCCCGUGCUGGGUGAGGGUGUCUCGGUGAGGGUGGACACCUUUCCCUCUCCCAUCUCUCCCUCUCUCGCUCCCAUCUCUUCCUGUCCAUCUCUCUCUCCCUGUCCCUCUCUCUCUCUCUGUCCUUCUUUCCCUCCCAUGGUAGUUUGGCAGAAGAUGAGGCUUUACUCAGAGAACUCCUGGUCUGAGAUGGACAGUCAUGGGAGGUUGCCAGGCCCCUAGAAGUGGGGGUAGUUGUUAGAUUCCCCUCACUUCCCCGGAAAGGAGUACCAGCACCCCUAUAGUUCGGUGAAAUCCCUGUUGGUUUGCUCAUGGGGGAGUAGCUCUUUGGCCUGGGUGUGUCUGGUUUCUGGAAACCUUGACUAAUCUUUAGCUCUAAACUCCUGCCCAGGAUUGAGGUUGAGGCUGCAGGUCUCCCUUCUGGGUUGUUGAUGGAGGUGUUGGAAGUGGACUGCAUAGAUGGUCUCUGAUCCUGGAUCGGAUCUCGGAUCCUCGGAUCCUGGGUGAAUCUGUGAAGAACACUAGUCUGAGGCUUCUUGGGGGAGCGGGUCUUGGGAGAGGGGGUCUUGGAUGAAGGGGUCUUGGGGGAUUGAGUCUUGGGGGAGGAGGUCUUGGAUGAAGGGGUCUUGGGGGAUUGGGUCUUGGAUGAAGGGGUCUUGGAUGAAGGGGUCUUAAACAGCCUAUGUGUGUCAGUCGGCACCCCAUUCAAUUCGCUGGAGGGUUUAGCCACCACAGGCCUCUGCUGAUAAAGGCCUGUAAAUACCUGCUUCAAUCUUCUAAGGCUAGGAAGGGGAGGUCUCUCUUUCCUCCCACUCUCCUCCUUUGGUUUUGGCACACAAGCAGUGUUUGCAGAACCUAUAGUUUUAAGACUAGGGUCACAAGGAGGAGAAGUCUUGUUGGUUGGCCGGCUCCCUCCAGCACUUUUUUUUGUAGUUUUUGUGGAUAGAACAUGUUGUGACACUGCAGAGUCUGCCUUACUACUAACAACACUCUGAGGUUUUGAUGGUCUCUUGAAAUUACACUCAGUUUUGUAUGUUUGCUUCUCUGGCAAAGAAGGUGCAGGUGUUAAUUUAGGUGAAUCAGAGGUCUUGGUUUUAGGAUUUUUCUUAGGACUUGUCUUAUCUUGAGACUUGUGUUUCUGAUGUGCUGUGGUUGAUUGAGGAGAUGACUUCUCAGGGCUUUUAAGUGGACUGCUUUUGAGCUGUGGUACAUCAUAAGGGUAGGAAAAUAUGGAGGUGAGUGUUAGCUUACUGCCUGGGAUGGGGGUCCCACGGUCUAGCUCAGUUGAAGAAACAUCAGGUGAGGCUGAUGAUUUCAUUGGUUUUUCUAGUCGUGGGUCAGCUUGUGGAAUCUUAGAUUCUUUCAGAGUGGGACUGGCAUGUGAUGAUAUGGAAGUCUUCGCUCUGGCAGGAGAACAUUUCUCAGUCGUUUCCUUUGGUGUUGAAGUCUUCUUCAUUUCACUGCUCCUUCUCAUCUCAGAAUCAUCUUUCUUCGCUGUAUCUCUUUUAAUAUUGAACAUGUCUGGGUAUGGAGUGUUGUCCGCUUGGCAUCUAGCUUUAGGGCUGGUUACUGAGUCUUCAGGGUUGGAACUGGUUACUGUCCCUUUAGCUAUUGGUGGACAGCUCUCCAGCCCACAACAUGUAGUCCUACUUCCUGAGAUGUUACUCCUGGUGUGGAACGAUGCCUCCCUGUGAAAAGUUCCAUGUUGUGGGGUGCAAGGGGCACUGGAGGUGAAUAACGUGGUGCGUACUGGGGUGCUUGGGGCACUGGAAGAUGUCACCUGACUUUGUACUGGGGUGCUUGGGGCACUGGAAGAUGUCACCUGACUUCGUAAUGGGGUGCCAGGGGCACUGGAAGAUGUCAUCUGACUUCGUAAUGGGGUGCCAGGGGCACUGGAAGAUGUCACCUGACUUUGUACUGGGGUGCCAGGGGCACUGGAAGAUGUCACCUGACUUUGUACUGGGGUGCCAGGGGCACUGGAAGAUGUCACCUGACUUUGUACUGGGGUGCCAGGGGCACUGGAAGAUGUCACCUGACUUUGUAAUGGGGUGCCAGGGGCACUGGAAGAUGUCACCUGACUUCGUAAUGGGGUGCCAGGGGCACUGGAGGUGAAAGAGUGGGGGUAGAGUGGCGUGCUAGGACAACUGGAAGGCGUACUGAGAGAGAAGGAAGGGGAAAAUAUUGGGAUGUUGGGAGAUGUGUUAGAAAGAGGAGCAGGGUGGGGAGGAGUGCUGGUAGCUGUGGGAGAGAGGAAGGGGGAGUGGGUAUAGAGUGGGCUGAGCAUGACACUGCCAUCAGAUGCUGGGGAGUCCGAGGCACUGCUGUCUAGCUGUCGGCGCCAUGACCGGCGGUCCCAUCUCCUCACCUGGCUGGGGGGUAGGCAACCUGACCAAAAGGAAACAAUGCACCAAAAUCAAUGGCAAACUGUCAACAUCCUCUGACUGCUCUAUCGGGGCCCCUCGUGGAUACUUUUGGGGCCCACUUUUAUACAGUUUAUAGCUACAUAAAUGACCUGCCCUCUGGAUGUCCCGAGAUCAGAAUGCAGAUGUAUGCAGACCAGUGGUGCACUGGUCAGCUGUUUGUUCA